rnacentral:rRNA from 1 species
AUUGAACGCUGGCGGCAUGCUUUACACAUGCAAGUCGAACGGUAACAGGCCGCAAGGUUCUGACGAGUGGCGAACGGGUGAGUAAUGCAUCGGAACGUGCCCUGUCGUGGGGGAUAACUACUCGAAAGAGGAGCUGAUACCGCAUACGAUAUAUGGAUGAAAGCGGGGGACCGUAAGGCCUAGCGCUAUUGGAGCGGCAGAUGUCGGUUUAGGUGGUUGGUGGGGGAAAGGUGCACCAGGCCAAGGACCUGUAGCUGCUGUGAGAGGGCACCCCUCCACACGGGGACUGAGACACGCCCAAGACUCCUCCGGGAGGCAGCAGUGGGGAAUUUUGGACAAUGGGCGAAAUCCUGAUCCAGCAAUGCCGCGUGCAGGAAGAAGGCCUUCGGGUUGUAAACUGUUUUUGUACGGAACGAAACGGCUCUGGUUAAUACCCGGGGCUAAUGACGGUACCGUAAGAAUAAGCACCGGCUAACUACGUG